GAUGAAGAACGUAGCGAAAUGCGGUAAGUAAUGUGAAUUGCAGAAUUCAGUGAAUCAUCGAAUCUUUGAACGCACAUUGCGCCCGCCAGUAUUCUGGCGGGCAUGCCUGUCCGAGCGUCAUUUCAACCCUCGAACCCCUCCGGGGGGUCGGCGUUGGGGACCUCGGGAGCCCCUAAGACGGGAUCCCGGCCCCGAAAUACAGUGGCGGUCUCGCCGCAGCCUCUCCUGCGCAGUAGUUUGCACAACUCGCACCGGGAGCGCGGCGCGUCCACGUCCGUAAAACACCCAACUUCUGAAAUGUUGACCUCGGAUCAGGUAGGAAUACCCGCUGAACUUAAGCAUAUCAAUAAGCGGAGGA
rnacentral:misc_RNA from 1 species